UUUGUUCUGCCAUGCUCGUGACGGACCCAAAUACUUUUUGACCAACAGAGAUACAUUGGGAGCCUAACUCCGUUCGUGGCAUAUAGGCCUUUCGAGGGACAUAUAAAGCGAGUGGGAGGGCACCCACCUGGUUGACAGGGUUAAAAAAAGUAUUUCCGCACGACAUGGUGGAACAAAA
rnacentral:other from 1 species